rnacentral:rRNA from 1 species
GAACGCUGGCGGCGUGGAUAAGACAUGCAAGUCGAACGAGAUCUGCGGAUAGCUUGCUAACUGCAGUGAAAGUGGCGGACGGGUGCGUAACACGUGAGCAACCUGCCCUGAAGUGGGGGAUAGCCCGGGGAAACUCGGAUUAAUACCCCAUGUGAUCUUCGGAUUAAAGGCGGCUUCGGCUGUCGCUUCAGGAUGGGCUCGCGGCCUAUCAGCUUGUUGGGGAGGUAACGGCUCACCAAGGCGACGACGGGUAGCUGGUCUGAGAGGACGAUCAGCCUCACUGGAACUGAGACACGGUCCAGACACCUACGGGUGGCAGCAGUCGAGAAUCAUUCACAAUGGGGGAAACCCUGAUGGUGCAACGCCGCGUGGAGGAUGACGGCCCUAGGGUUGUAAACUCCUGUCAUCUGGGAGUAAGCCUUGUUCGUUAAUAGCGUGCAAGGUUGAUAGUACCAGAAGAGGAAGGGACGGCUAACUUCGUGCCAGCAGCCGCGGUAAUACGAGGGUCCCAAGCGUUGUUCGGAAUCACUGGGCGUAAAGCGUGCGUAGGCGGCGCGGAAAGUCAGGUGUGAAAUCUCUGGGCUCAACCCGGAAACUGCACCCGAUACUCCCGCGCUAGAGUAAUGGGAGGGGUAGCUGGAAUUCUCGGUGUAGCAGUGAAAUGCGUAAAUAUCGAGAGGAACACUCGUGGCGAAGGCGAGCUACUGGACAUUUACUGA